UACGAAGGGGGCUAGCGUUGCUCGGAAUCACUGGGCGUAAAGGGUGCGUAGGCGGGUCUUUAAGUCAGGGGUGAAAUCCUGGAGCUCAACUCCAGAACUGCCUUUGAUACUGAGGAUCUUGAGUUCGGGAGAGGUGAGUGGAACUGCGAGUGUAGAGGUGAAAUUCGUAGAUAUUCGCAAGAACACCAGUGGCGAAGGCGGCUCACUGGCCCGAUACUGACGCUGAGGCGCGAGAGCGUGGGGAGCAAACAGG
rnacentral:rRNA from 1 species